CGUAGGGGCGAAGCGUUGUCCGGAGUUUAUUGGGCGUAAAGCGCGCGCAGGCGGCGCUUUAAGUUGGGGUUAAAGGGACAGUGGCUCAACCAUUGUACGCCUCCAAAACUAGGAGCGCUUGAGUGCAGGAGAGGAAAGCGGAAUUCCCGGUGUAGCGGUGGAAUGCGUAGAGAUCGGGAGGAACACCAGUGGCGAAGGCGGCUUUCUGGCCUGUAACUGACGCUGAGGCGCGAAAAGCGUGGGGAGCAAACAGGAUU
rnacentral:rRNA from 1 species